rnacentral:rRNA from 1 species
UGGGGAAUUUUGCACAAUGGGGGAAACCCUGAUGCAGCGACGCCGCGUGAUUUAUAAGGCCUUCGGGUUGUAAAAAUCUUUUUUACGGGAUGAAAAUGACAGUACCGUAAGAAUAAGGUCCGGCUAAAUACGUGCCAGCAGCCGCGGUAAUACGUAUGGACCGAGCGUUGUCCGGAAUCAUUGGGCGUAAAGGGUACGUAGGCGGACUGGUAAGUUAGAAGUGAAAUAAUAUAGCUCAACUAUAUAAAGCUUUUAAAACUGCUAGGCUUGAGAGAUGGAAAGGAAAGUGGAAUUCCUAGUGUAGCGGUGAAAUGCGCAGAUAUUAGGAAGAAUACCGGUGGCGAAGGCGACUUUCUGGUCAUCAUCUGACGCUGAGGUACGAAAGCGUGGGUAGCAAACAGG